rnacentral:lncRNA from 1 species
UUAGACUCAAAUUCGUGGUCUCGAAACCACUUUGUCCGAUUAGGGUCAAAAUUGGGCUGUUACAACUCUCCUCUCCUUAGGGAUUUUCGUCCUCGAAAAUCUUACCGCUAAAUAGGUGUGGGUAACGUUCUUUCAUUGUAUCCUCUAGCUCUCAGGUUGCUUCCUCAACUCUGUGUUUAUGCCACAAUACUUUAACUAACGGAAUUUUCUUAUUUCGUAACUCUUUAACCUCACGAGCAAGAAUGCAAAUCGAUUAUUCUUUAUACGACAUAUCAGAUCUAAUCUCAAUCUCUGACGGACUAAUCACAUAUGUAGGAUCGGAUUGGUAUCUACGAAGCAUCAAAACAUUAAAUACAUUGUGAAUAUUUUCUAGCUCAGGUGGCAACAGUAAUCUAUAAGCAACCGGUCCG